GCCAGGGUGGUGUAGUGGUUUCAGUGUUAAACUAGGACUCUGGAAAACAGGGUUCAAAUCCCUGCUCAGCCA
rnacentral:tRNA from 1 species